CCAAAAUUGAAGGGUGAAUCGAAGCUCAAAUUCAGGAAGGAAUACGAAUUAAUGAUCACCUACUCAAGGGGAUCAUAAGGAUCAUGUCAAGAUGGGGGAAAGCAUGGAAGGCUAACGGAAAGGAUAUGAGGAAGCAUGUACGAAACGGGCACUCGAGGUUGUACGAAUCACAGAUUAUCAUCAAGAGGAGUAGCGAUCAAGUCAAGAGCAAGGAUUGUACAAAAAGUGCGGUCACAUAGUUAGGUUAUGUAUU